GACGAACGCUGGCGGCGUGCUUAACACAUGCAAGUCGAACGGAAAGGCCCUGCUUUUGUGGGGUGCUCGAGUGGCGAACGGGUGAGUAACACGUGAGUAACCUGCCCUUGACUUUGGGAUAACUUCAGGAAACUGGGGCUAAUACCGGAUAGGAGCUCCUGCUGCAUGGUGGGGGUUGGAAAGUUUCGGCGGUUGGGGAUGGACUCGCGGCUUAUCAGCUUGUUGGUGGGGUAGUGGCUUACCAAGGCUUUGACGGGUAGCCGGCCUGAGAGGGUGACCGGCCACAUUGGGACUGGGAUACGGCCCAGACUCCUACGGGAGGCAGCAGUGGGGAAUAUUGCACAAUGGGCGGAAGCCGGAUGCAGCAACGCCGCGUGCGGGAUGACGGCCUUCGGGUUGUAAACCGCUUUCGCCUGUGACGAAGCGUGAGUGACGGUAAUGGGUAAAGAAACACCGGCGAACUACGU
rnacentral:rRNA from 1 species